rnacentral:rRNA from 1 species
AAACGUAGGUGGCAAGCGUUGUCCGGAAUUACUGGGUGUAAAGGGAGCGCAGGUGGAUUGACAAGUCGAAUGUGAAAUGCAGAGGCUCAACCUCUGAACUGCGUUCGAUACUGUUGAUCUUGAGUGGAGUAGGGGCAGGCGGAAUUCCCGGUGUAGCGGUGGAAUGCGUAGAUACCGGGAGGAAUACCGGUAGCGAAGGCGGCCUGCUGGGCUCUAACUGACACUGAGGCUCGAAAGCGGGGGGAGCAAACAGGAUUAGAUACCCUGGUAGUCCACGCCGUAAACGAUGAUUACUAGGUGUGGGGGGACUGACCCCUUCCGUGCCGAAGUUAACACAUUAAGUAAUCCACCUGGGGAGUACGACCGCAAGGUUGAAACUCAAAUGAAUUGACGGGG